ACCCUAUUAGGCUCAGUGGAUAGAGCAUUGGCCUGCAGACCAAAGGGUACUGGGUUCGAUUCCAGUCAAGGGCA
rfam:Myotis davidii contig36959, whole genome shotgun sequence.